AGGUCAAGCGAACAAGGGCACACGGAGGAUGCCUAGGCGUAAGAGGGCGACGAAGGACGCAGCGAGCGGCGAAACGCCCCGGGGAGCUGCAAGCAAGCAUUGAUCCGGGGAUAUCCGAAUGGGGGAACCCACCUCAGGCGAACCUGAGGUAUCCCGUACUGAAUCCAUAGGUAUGGGAAGCGACACCGGGGGAACUGAAACAUCUAAGUACCCCGAGGAAAAGAAAGAAACAUCGAUUCCCUAAGUAGCGGCGAGCGAAAAGGGAAGAGCCCAAACCUUGCAUGUGCAAGGCCGUCACCGUUGCAUGCAAGGGGUUGAGGAGUGUCGAGCUUGGGACGGGAGAGCAAGGCGAGGCCAAAGGUAGCAGAACACCGCUGGAAAGCGGGGCCACAGAAGGUGAAAGCCCUGUAUGCGAAACCGGAAGACCCGCCUGACACAUCCAGAGUACCACGGGCCACGCCAAUCCCGUGGGAAGCAGGGAGGACCAUCUCCCAAGGCUAAAUACCCACUUACGACCGAUAGAGAACAAGUACCGUGAGGGAAAGGUGAAAAGCACCCCGGGAGGGGAGUGAAAUAGCACCUGAAACCGUGUGUCUACAAACGGAGGGAGCGCAAGCGACCUCGUACUUUUUGUAGAACGGACCGGCGAGUUACUGUAUCAAGCGAGGUUAAGGAGUAAAGCUCCGGAGCCGAAGCGAAAGCGAGUCUGAAGAGGGCGACAAGUUUGAUGCAGUAGACCCGAAACCGUGUGAUCUACCCAUGGCCAGGGUGAAGCGGAACUAACCUUCCGUGGAGGCCCGAACCGUGUUGACGUUGAAAAGUCAUGGGAUGAGCUGUGGGUAGGGGUGAAAUGCCAAUCGAACACGGAGAUAGCUGGUUCUCCCCGAAAUAGCUUUAGGGCUAGCCAAAGCAGGACCUUACCGGAGGUAGAGCACUGAAUGGGCUAGGGGCCGAAAAGGUUACUGAACCCUAUCAAACUCCGAAUGCCGGUAAGAAAUAGCUUUGAGUCAGACUAUGGGGGAUAAGCUUCAUAGUCGAGAGGGAAACAGCCCAGACCGUCAGCUAAGGUCCCCAAGUAAACCUAAGUGGUAAAGGAUGUUGUACUACGAAGACAACCAGGAUGUUGGCUUAGAAGCAGCCAUUCAUUCAAAGAGUGCGUAAUAGCUCACUGGUCGAGCGGUACUGCGCCGAAAAUGUAACGGGGCUCAAGGUUUACACCGAAGCUGCGGACAGAAGCAAAAUCACUUAUGUGUUCAAGCAAAACAAAAACAGUCUUGCGAAAAGCUACGAAUAAAAAAAAUAAAUUAAAAGCUUUUCGCCAAAUGUUUUCAAGCUAAAGGUUUAAAAUAGCUUGAGCAUGUCAGUGAUUUUGCUUCUGUGGUAGGGGAGCGUUCCUAUUGGGCAGAAGUCGUACUGUAAAGUAUGGUGGACCGAUAGGAAGAGAGAAUGUCGGUAUAAGUAGCGAGAGGCAGGUGAGAAUCCUGCCCGCCGAAAGCCUAAGGAUUCCUGAGGAAGGUUCGUCCGCUCAGGGUAAGCCGGGGCCUAAGCCGAGGCUGUGAAUGCGUAGGCGAUGGACAACUGGUGGAAAUUCCAGUGCCACCCGAGACCGAUUGAGCGAAGGGGUGACGCAGGAGGGUAAGCUGAGCGCACGGUUGGUAGAGUGUGUCCAAGCCCAAAGGCAAGCCGGACAGGCAAAUCCGUCCGGUGAUGCUGAAGGGUGAUGGGGAGGGAACAAAAGUACCGAAGCAGCCGAACCCAAACUGCCAAGAAAAGCCUCUAGCGAGGUCAAGGGUGCCCGUACUGCAAACCGACACAGGUAGGUGAGGAGAGAAUCCUAAGGCGAACGGGAGAACCCUCGUUAAGGAACUCGGCAAACUGACCCCGUAACUUCGGGAGAAGGGGUGCCCGAGUAGCGAAGAGCAAUCUUUUGCGAAAGGGUCGCAGCAAAGAGGCCCAAGCGACUGUUUAGCAAAAACACAGGUCUCUGCUAAGGAGGAAUCCGACGUAUAGGGGCUGACGCCUGCCCGGUGCUGGAAGGUUAAGGGGAUGGCUUAGCGCAAGCGAAGGUCAGAACCGAAGCCCCAGUGAACGGCGGCCGUAACUAUAACGGUCCUAAGGUAGCGAAAUUCCUUGUCGGGUAAGUUCCGACCCGCACGAAUGGCGUAACGACUUGGGCGCUGUCUUGACGAGGGGCCCGGCGAAAUUGUAAUAUGAGUGAAGAUACUCAUUACCCGCGACUGGACGGAAAGACCCCAUGGAGCUUUACUGCAACCUGACAUUGGAUUUCGGCACUGAAUGUACAGGAUAGGUGGGAGGCAGAGAACCUGGCUCGUCAGGGUCAGGGGAGCCGACGUUGGGAUACCACUCUUUCGGUACUGAGGUUCUAACCCCAAGGCCGUAAGCCGGCUGGGGGACAUAGUCAGGUGGGCAGUUUGACUGGGGCGGUCGCCUCCUAAAAGGUAACGGAGGCGCCCAAAGGUUACCUCAGCGCGGUUAGGAAUCGCGCAUUGAGUGCAAAGGCAUAAGGUAGCCUGACUGCGAGAAAGACACUUCGAGCAGGGUCGAAAGACGGGCUUAGUGAUCCGGCGGCACUGGAUGGAAGGGCCGUCGCUCAACGGAUAAAAGCUACCCUGGGGAUAACAGGCUGAUCUCCCCCAAGAGUCCACAUCGACGGGGAGGUUUGGCACCUCGAUGUCGGCUCGUCGCAUCCUGGAGCUGAAGUAGGUUCCAAGGGUUGGGCUGUUCGCCCAUUAAAGCGGCACGCGAGCUGGGUUCAGAACGUCGUGAGACAGUUCGGUCCCUAUCCGUCGUGGGCGUAGGAUACUUGAAGGGAGCUGCCCCUAGUACGAGAGGACCGGGGUGGACGGACCGAUGGUGUAUCAGUUGUCGUGCCAACGGCACCGCUGAGUAGCCAAGUCCGGCAGGGAUAAGCGCUGAAAGCAUCUAAGUGCGAAGCCCCCCCUAAGAUAAGGUAUCCCAUCCCUAAAAGGGAGUAAGACACCGGAAGGACUAUCCGGUCGAUAGGUCAGAGGUGUAAGGGCUGUGAGGCCUUGAGCCGACUGAUACUAAUAGGUCGAGGGCUUGACCAAAAA
rnacentral:rRNA from 2 species